GACGAACGCUGGCGGCGUGCUUAACACAUGCAAGUCGAACGGAAAGGCCCUGCUUUUGUGGGGUGCUCGAGUGGCGAACGGGUGAGUAACACGUGAGUAACCUGCCCUUGACUUUGGGAUAACUUCAGGAAACUGGGGCUAAUACCGGAUAGGAGCUCCUGCUGCAUGGUGGGGGUUGGAAAGUUUCGGCGGUUGGGGAUGGACUCGCGGCUUACCAGCUUGUUGGUGGGGUAGUGGCAUACCAAGGCUUUGACGGGUAGCCGGCCUGAGAGGGUGACCGGCCACAUUGGGACUGAGAUACGGCCCAGACUCCUACGGGAGGCAGCAGUGGGGAAUAUUGCACAAUGGGCGGAAGCCUGAUGCAGCAACGCCGCGUGCGGGAUGACGGCCUUCGGGUUGUAAACCGCUUUCGCCUGUGACGAAGCGUGAGUGACGGUAAUGGGUAAAGAAGCACCGGCUAACUACGUGCCAGCCGCCGCAGUAAAAC
rnacentral:rRNA from 1 species